UACUCAUUUGAGGCAUUAGUAGGAA
rnacentral:piRNA from 1 species